UAGACCUAGUGGCGACGGGUGAGUAACACGUGAGCAACCUGCCCUAUACAACGGGAUAACACUGAGAAAUUAGUGCUAAUACGGUAUAAGACCACGCUUGGGCAUCCAAAGAGGGGUAAAAGCUGAGGCGGUAUAGGAGGGGCUCGCGGCCCAUUAGAUAGUUGGUGAGGUAACGGCCCACCAAGUCGACGAUGGGUAGCCGACCUGAGAGGGUGAACGGCCACAUUGGAACUGAGAUACGGUCCAAACUCCUACGGAAGGCAGCAG
rnacentral:rRNA from 1 species